UAAUUUCUGGCUUCCCUGACUUGGCUUGUACCUGACCAUUCUCUAUUCUAUAACGCAUAGUCUGGCCAUUCUAAGGACUGAUAAUCAUUAUCUAAUCUAUUAUCAUAUUAACUGCGUGUUGGGUCACUAGGUAUCGUGACAGUCAGCCACCAUUGUCAAGGUCCUCUACUUGCUUGCACAGUUCAAGGAGAACCGAGCCUUGCCUAGAGGUUGCAGUGCCAGCUGCCUGAGAGUGUUGGAUGGCUUGCAG